UCCUCCACACAAGGAUAUCCUGCUCAUUUUUUCCAGCAUAUUUUUGAAUUUGUUACACUAACUUACAUUCUCUGAACAAAAUUUACAGGAGUGCACAAAUUCAACAACAAAAGGAGAAAGUAUAAAACACAUUCCAGAGACUAGUCCAUAGCAUCAAGGUAAGUCAUACUUUUUCAUGUUAACAUAUUAACGUUACAAAAAUUUAUUAACACAUUCUGUGAACGAAAUUUACAGGAGUACAUAAAUUCAACAACAAAAGGAGAAAGUAUAAAACACAUUCCAUGAAUCACUGCAUAGUAUCAAGGUAUGUCAUACUUUUUCAUGUUAAAUUAUUAACGUUACAAAAGUUUAUUAACACAUUUUGUGAACGAAAUUUACAGAAGUUCAUAAAUUCAUCAACCAAAUGAGAAAGUAUAAAACACAUUCCAGAGAUCAGUCCAUAGUAUCAAGGUAUGUCAUACUUUUUCAUGUUAAAUUAUUAACGUUACAAAAGUUUAUUAACACAUUUUGUGAACGAAAUUUACAGAAGUGCAUAAAUUCGUCAACCAAAGGAGAAAGUAUAAAACACAUUCCAGAAUUCAGUCCAUAGUAUCAAGGUAUGUCAUACUUUUUUGUUAAAUUGUUAAGCUUACAAAAGUUAUUACACAAAAUAAAUAUGACCAAGUGAAUCAAUACAUUUCUGAACGAAAUUAACAAAUUAAACAAAAUAAAUAUGGCUAAGUGAAUGAACACAUGAACAAAAAAUAAAUAACAAAUCAUAUCACAAGGCAAAUCUGACAGAUUUAUUUUAAAAUGAAAAUCUACUUAGAAAGGGAGGCAAAUAAAACGCAUAACAAUUAAUGCAUACAUAAAUUUUAGUAGAAAAAAUAGGAAAAUGCAAUUAAGGUCAAAUAUUUGAUCCAUCAAUUCAAUAUUUUGUACUGAAAUAAAAAAUUAAACCUUCUAAUACUAUUAUUUAAAACAUUUUGUAGUUUUCAUCUUAUAUUUAUCUUCAAUUUCGUGUGAACUUCAAUUCUCUGACAUACAUUAAAUUGAAAUCCUCAAAAUGGGGUUUUGUUGCUUUCUAUUAUUAAAGUUUUUAUAUAAUAUAUAUCAACACUCUAUAUCACUACAUUUAAUCAAUAACAACAUAGAAAAGACAAAACAUAUUUUACUUUCAUAAACCUAUUGAGUGUGAUGUAUGAAGCAAAUUAGUGUAUUAUGAAAAAGAAAAAACACAGUUACAUAUAUAUGAUGAUGUUUGACUAUCGAGCUGUUGAGGCCUAAGGGACAACAAAUGUUAGUUUAAAUUAUGUAUUUGUUAAUCACUCUUUAUAUUUGUUAAUGACUCUUUAUAUUUGUUAAUGACUCUUUCUAUGUAUGUCAGUAUUGCCAAAAUAUGAACAUAACAUAAACAUUGUCAACUAACUCAACACAUCAACAAAUUACAUUGCAUUGUUGUUGUGCAAAUUCAUCAUCCUGGUAAGUCUAAGUCAUAUUUUAUCAUGUCAGAUUACUAAUCACACAAAAAUAUCUUGGCUGAUUAUAAAAAGUAGUUUUUCAUAUUACUAACUACUAAGUCCUAAGGGAUAAGUCAUAAGGGACAAGACAUGUUACUUAAAAUUACAUAUUUGGUAAUGACUCUCUAUUACAGAACAAUAUAAAAUCUGGAACAAUAUAAAAUCAACACAUCAACAACAAUAAUAAUAUAAAAUCUGGAACUGCAUAAUAAAUUCAUAAAACACAAAAUAAAUGUUCGCAUCUAAAUUGUAAAUAACUGAUUAUACAUAAAAGAAUUAACCUAAAACCAUGAAAGUAAUUGUUCGCAUCUAAACACUAAAUAACUGUGCACUGUGCACAUCCAAAUUCUAAAUAACUGAUUAAAUUCCACUCAUUCUUCAGCUAAAAAAAUCAUAUUUGUUUUCCUAAAAGCAAAUUGAUCAAUCUACAAAAUAAUAAAACGAAACCUCAAACCAAUAAUAAAACACAUAUACAAGUUCAAAGUUUACCAACAAAUCAUACAAUAAACAAUCAAACUUGAUGAAAAGUGAAAGCAACAAACGAUUGAACGAUCUAGAAAUAGAAACUCAUAGAUCUAACAACCAAAUAACAAUCACAAAUCAAGAUUUUUCGUUACCUUUCGCAUACCAACAAUGCCAUUAGAACCAAAAUUAAACCCUUCACCCUCUUCAUCAACAGUUCCAGCAGCAACAACAUUAUCAUCCUCAGAAAACUCAUGAUUCUUCAACCUUGCACUCAAAGACCUUAAAUCAUCUCUCAUAGCAACAAUCCCAAUACCAAUCCUCUCACUACCCAUAUUCCCUCCGAUAAAAACCGAUCCCGUCACAUCAUCUUCCUCCUGCUUAUACGGCACAUACAAUAGCCUGUAAAACUGUUGAACCAUCCCAUUCAAACAGGCACCAAAGUCAGCUCCAACCUCCCCUAUACAACUACCAAUAUGUAUAAUAUUUAAAAACAGAAGUCAGAUCGAUGUUGUGAUUUUCAAAUGGAUAGGGAUCCAGAAGCGAUAGAAGAAAAAACAAAAAAUAGAGUCAUUGAAGUCAGAUUGUUGAGGGAAACAGUGAGAGAGACAAAACGCAAGAAAUGCCAAAUAAGAGAGAAAGUGAGAAAAUCUAAAACAUAUAACCACAUCAUAACAAUAGACAGAGAUGAAGAAGAAAUUCAUAAUGGAGAAUAAAGAGAACUUACAAAUCAUUAUGUGAAACUGGAAUACCAAAAUAUAUGAGUUGGUCCCAAUAUAUAGAAGACGCAAGAUCUGGUUGAGUAUUACGUUUGGGGUUGUUCAAUCAUUGAAUCGUUGAGGCGUUGAGGAGGAAUCAGAAGAGUAAGGGUUUGAAGGGGUCAAAUUGGAAGAAGAAGGUGGAGAGAGAAAUAUUUC
rnacentral:lncRNA from 1 species